CUACGGGAUGCUCCAGUGGGGAAUAUUGCACAAUGGGCGCAAGCCUGAUGCAGCAACGCCGUGUGAGUGAUGAAGGUCCUCGGAUUGUAAAACUCUAUCCUAUGGGAAGAAAAAAAUGACGGUACCAUAGGAGGAAGCCCCGGCUAACUACGUGCCAACAGCCGCGGUAAUACGUAGGGGGCAAGCGUUAUCCGAAAUCACUGGGCGUAAAAGGUGCGUAGGCGGCCUAUCAAGUCAGAGGUGAAAGGCAUUGGCUCAACCAAUGUAAGCCUUUGAAACUGUUAGGCUUGAGUGCAGGAGAGGUAAGUGGAAUUCCUAGUGUAGAGGUGAAAUUCGUAGAUAUUAGGAGGAACACCAGUGGCGAAGGCGACUUACUGGACUGUAACUGACGCUGAGGCACGAAAGCGUGGGGAGCGAACAGGAUUAGAUACCCCUGUAGUC
rnacentral:rRNA from 1 species